UGGGGAAUAUUGGACAAUGGGCGCAAGCCUGAUCCAGCCAUGCCGCGUGGAUGAAGAAGGCCCUAGGGUUGUAAAGUCCUUUCGGUGGUGAAGAUAAUGACGGUAACCACAGAAGAAGCCCCGGCUAAUUUCGUGCCAGCAGCCGCGGUAAUACGAAAGGGGCUAGCGUUGUUCGGAAUUACUGGGCGUAAAGCGCACGUAGGCGGCCUUGUAAGAUGGGGGUGAAAUCCCUGGGCUCAACCCAGGAACUGCCUUCAUGACUGCAAAGCUCGAGGAUGUGAGAGGUUGGCGGAAUUCCGAGUGUAGAGGUGAAAUUCGUAGAUAUUCGGAAGAACACCAGUGGCGAAGGCGGCCAACUGGCACAUUUCUGACGCUGAGGUGCGAAAGCGUGGGGAGCAAACAGGAUUAGAUACCCCCGUAGUCCCUGAGCGGGCUGGCAAGGCGCAU
rnacentral:rRNA from 1 species